CACAAUAAUUGAGAAAGCGGUACAUUUUUACUCAAAUACCAACCAUUUUCAACCUUUUCUCCUAUAACAAGUCUGUUUUACAUCAAAUAGCUGAAUUUGUAUAUUUAUUACAUUUUAUAACCAUUUAUUACUCUUCUCUUAAAUUUCACUCAUACCUGCUCCUUUUUCCACGUCAUUUCCUUUUGCUUUUUUUUACUCAUAUGGAUUGGGUCCUUCAACAACAAAUUCUUCUUAUAUUCUAUUAAAUUUGAUUCUCUUCUUCUGCUAAUUUAAGGUAAGGUAGUGUUUUGGAUGGUGGCUGCUACAGUUUUAUAAGCGGGUCGAUGUCGGCAACUUCAAGAAAAUUAAACAACACAACAACCACCACCGCUAUGUCAUCGGAUGAUUCAUCGAGCCCUCUUCAAGAUGACUCUGAGCUUGAAUUGCGAAUUGAGGGCUUUGGGUUAAAGCGAAGAGAUGGCGGCAGCGGCAUCGGUUAAUGGAAGGAUAAGACAGUAGUUGUGAUAAGGUUGGUGAAAUUGGGAAAACGACGGUGGUGGGGAUAAUGAUUCUAGAGUGAUGAGAGUGAGCGUGAUGCCAUGGUGGGAGAUGUGUGAUCAGAAGCAAGGUUCCAUAGUUGAAAAAGAUAUUUCCGAGAGGAAGGACACUGCAACAAGAAGAAAAUACAGUGUUAUAAACCUGCAACCAUGAAAUAUUUGGAAUUUUCCUGGCCUUAUCACCUGCUUAGAUUAGUGUUAAUUAUUGCAUAUUAUGAUUAUGAUAUUAGCUGUAACUUCUUUUUUAAAGUAAUUUGUUAUAAUUGAUGUGCAUUUGAAA